rnacentral:rRNA from 1 species
AUUGAACGCUGGCGGCAUGCCUUACACAUGCAAGUCGAACGGCAGCACGGGUGCUUGCACCUGGUGGCGAGUGGCGCACGGGUGAGUAAUACAUCGGAACAUGUCCUGUAGUGGGGGAUAGCCCGGCGAAAGCCGGAUUAAUACCGCAUACGAUCCACGGAUGAAAGCGGGGGUCCUUCGGGCCUCGCGCUAUAGGGUUGGCCGAUGGCUGAUUAGCUAGUUGGUGGGGUAAAGGCCUACCAAGGCGACGAUCAGUAGCUGGUCUGAGAGGACGACCAGCCACACUGGGACUGAGACACGGCCCAGACUCCUACGGGAGGCAGCAGUGGGGAAUUUUGGACAAUGGGCGAAAGCCUGAUCCAGCAAUGCCGCGUGUGUGAAGAAGGCCUUCGGGUUGUAAAGCACUUUUGUCCGGAAAGAAAUCCUUGACUCUAAUACAGUCGGGGGAUGACGGUACCGGAAGAAUAAGCACCGGCUAACUACGUG